rnacentral:rRNA from 1 species
UACGGAGGGAGCUAGCGUUGUUCGGAAUUACUGGGCGUAAAGGGAGCGUAGGCGGAUAGUUUAGUCAGAGGUGAAAGCCCAGGGCUCAACCUUGGAAUUGCCUUUGAUACUGGCUAUCUUGAGUACGGAAGAGGUAUGUGGAACUCCGAGUGUAGGGGUGAAAUUCGUAGAUAUUCGGAAGAACACCAGUGGCGAAGGCGACAUACUGGUCCGUUACUGACGCUGAGGCUCGAAAGCGUGGGGAGCAAACAGG